rnacentral:rRNA from 1 species
GGGGGGAGAGCGGCAAACGGGGUAGUAACGGGUAGGUGACGUACCCUCGGGUUGGGGAUAGCCACGGGAAACUGUGGGUAAUACCCAAUAAUCUCCUGGAGCUUGAAGGUUUCGGGAGCAAAGGUGUGAUUCCACCGGAGGAGCGGCCUGCUUCGUAUUAGCUAGUUGGUGAGGUAACGGCUCGCCAAGGCUUCGAUGCGUAGGGGGUGUGAGAGCAUGACCCCCACCACUGGGACUGAGAUACUGCCCAGACACCUACGGGUGGCAGCAGUCGAGAAUUUUUCACAAUGGGCGCAAGCCUGAUGGAGCGACGCCGCGUGGGGGAUGAAUGGCUUCGGCCCGUAAACCCCUGUCAUUUGCGAGCAAGGCGCAUUAUUUAAAAGAUGAUGUGUUGAUAGUAGCGAAAGAGGAAGGGACGGCUAACUCUGUGCCAGCAGCCGCGGUAAUACGGAGGAUCCAAGCGUUAUCCGGAAUCAUUGGGUUUAAAGGGUCCGUAGGCGGUUUAGUAAGUCAGUGGUGAAAGCCCAUCGCUCAACGAUGGAACGGCCAUUGAUACUGCUAGACUUGAAUUAUUAGGAAGUAACUAGAAUAUGUAGUGUAGCGGUGAAAUGCUUAGAUAUUACAUGGAAUACCAAUUGCGAAGGCAGGUUACUACUAAUGGAUUGACGCUGAUGGACGAAAGCGUGGGGAGCGAACAGGAUUAGAUACCCUGGUAGUCCACGCCGUAAACGAUGGAUACUAGCUGUUGGGCGCAAGUUCAGUGGCUAAGCGAA